ensembl:lncRNA
GUGGAUGUGUGUUUGGAGGUGGAGGUGUGUGUUUGGAUGUGUGUGUGUCCAGGGAGGGAGGGGACCCAGUAGGACCCCCUGAAACACGCACUGAGUGCUGGAAAACACCCCUAUGGUUAGAGUGUGUGUGGAGGUGUGUGUGUGGAGGUGUGUGUGUGGAGGUGUGUGUGUGGAGGUGUGUGUGUGUGGAGGUGUGUGUGUGUGUGGAGGUGUGUGUGUGUGUGUGGAGGUGUGUGUGUGUGUGGAGGUGUGUGUGUGUGUGGAGGUGUGUGUGUGUGUGUGUGUGUGUGUGUGUGUGGAGGUGUGUGUGUGUGUGUGUGUGUGUGUGUGUGGUGUGUGUGUGUGUGGAGGUGUGUGUGUGUGUGGGUGUGUGUGUGUGGAGGUGUGUGUGUGUGUGUGU